rnacentral:lncRNA from 1 species
GUGCCAUGUCCAAGCCCAGGAUUCGAACCAAUGAAACACUGGGCCACCUGCAGCGGAGCACACGAACCUAACCACUUGGCCACGGGGCCAGCCCCCUGAUUUACAUUUUAACAGCAUCACUCUUAUUGCUGGGUUGAGAAGAGAUUUUAGGUUUACAAGGGCAGAAACCAGGAGACCAGGUAGGAGAUUAUCACAACAACCCAGAUAUUCUGUUUCUCUUGGACCACUUGCUCUGGGGGAAGCCAUCAGCCACGCUGUGAGGCAACUCAGUGGAGACAUCCAAGAAGCAAGGAAGCGAAGAAGGCCUCCAGCCAAGAGCUAGCAAGGAACUGAGGUCCUCAGUCCAACACCUGUGAGGAAUAGAGGCGCAUAUGAGGAAACUGAGACACGGGGAAGUUGAGUUACUUGCUCAAGAUCCCACGGGACAGAGUUGAGCUGGUUCCAACACAGACAGUCUGGCUCACUGCCCUUGCUCUUCACCCGUGGUUCUCCAGCGUGAAUGCCCACCAGA